GUGGGGAAUCUUGCGCAAUGGGCGAAAGCCUGACGCAGCCAUGCCGCGUGAAUGAUGAAUGUCUUAGGAUUGUAAAAUUCUUUCACCGGGGACGAUAAUGACGGUACCCGGAGAAGAAGCUCCGGCUAACUUCGUGCCAGCAGCCGCGGUAAUACGAAGGGGGCUAGCGUUGCUCGGAAUUACUGGGCGUAAAGGGCGCGUAGGCGGACAGCUUAGUCAGAGGUGAAAGCCCAGGGCUCAACCUUGGAAUUGCCUUUGAUACUGGCUGUCUUGAGUUUGGGAGAGGUGAGUGGAACUCCGAGUGUAGAGGUGAAAUUCGUAGAUAUUCGGAAGAACACCAGUGGCGAAGGCGACUCACUGGCCCAAUACUGACGCUGAGGCGCGAAAGCGUGGGGAGCAAACAGGAUUAGAUACCCUUGUAGUCC
rnacentral:rRNA from 1 species